rnacentral:lncRNA from 1 species
GGGCCGCUGGCCGGCCUCACAGCUGGAUGCUAUGGAGAAUCGGGAAGAUGGGUGCGUUGUGCAAAUCUGUGCAUGUGUGUACACAGAUGUGUGCCUGUGUGCACCUGUGUCUCUGUGUGUGCACAUAUACAUGUGUGUGUGUGUGUGUGUGUGUGUGCUGGGGGCUCGGGAGGAGGAUCAAGGGACCAAGUUCAGUUCUGCUCGGUGGGAGAUGAGCGCAGCCCGGGGAAGAGAAGCGAUGCCCACCCCCCGUAGCUCCUGGAGAGGCCCAGCCGGCAGCUGACGGCCUCCUCCCUCUCCCACUGGCGGUGAGGCCCUCAGGCCAGCCCCUGCCGCGGCUGCAGCACCCAGGGAAGACAGGCAGAGCUCUCUCACUUCCCCAGGUCUCCUGGGGCCUGAGCUGCAUUGCUGUUUACAAAGAGUGGGUGGCGGGGCCGGCGCUGUGGCGUAGCAGGUAAAUCCACUGCCUGCAGCACCGGCAUCUCAUAUGGGUGCUGAUUCAAGUCCUGGCUGCUCCACUUCUGAUCCAGCUCUCUGCUGUGGCCUGGGAAAGCAGUAGAAGAUGGCCCAGGUCCUUGGGCCCCUGCACCCGCCUGGAAAGACCCGGAAGAAGCUCCUGGCUCCUGGCUUCGGAUAGGCACAGCUCCGGCCAUUGCGGCCAAUUGGGGAGUGAACCAGCAGAUGGAAGACCUCUCUUUUUCUCUCUCUGCCUCUCCUUCUCUCUAUAUAUAACUCUGACUUUCAAUAAACAAAAAAAAAAAUUAAAAAAAGACAAAGAAUGGGUGGGCGGGGUCAGAGGCUACUACCCAGCAGGUCAGGGCAUCAGCCAGCACCUGGCCGUUGCUCUGAGACUUAGGCGUGAUCAUACCCAUUUUAAAGAUGAAGAAACUGAGAGGAAGCAGUGACUUGUCCAAGACAAGCAGCACCCAUGGCCCUGUGUGGGAGUGGUGACCGUUUUCCAUCCAAUGGCCUUGACCAGCUUAACCCUGAGGUCGUGACCUCACUUCUGCAUGACAAGGGAGUGGUGUCAGGCUCUGAAUUCAGAUCCCCUAUGACUAACUGGACCAGUUCCUGGGUGGAGUCAGGAAGCUGGGGCAGGGGGAGGAGAGAGGAAAUGGAGUUGGAGUGGGCUGAGACCAUGCAGUCCCACCUGGGCAGCGUGAGUGUCAGCCUGGGCGUCCCCAACAGACUGGGACCAGCCCCUGUCUGGGAGCAGCCCUGCUUGUUCAGUCACUCGGCCCAGCUCCUGCUCCUCCUCCGUGCCCUGCACUCAACCCCUCCCUCCCUCACUUGUGGCCGUGCCGGGAGGUCAGGUGUCCCUCUGGCGGGUACCUCUGCCUCUCACCUCUCCCACAGCGGCCUUCACUCUCCGCCAAGGGUGUGUGUGUGUGCGCGCGUGCACUCUUGUUACUCUCUCUCUCUUAUUGCUAGAAAAUUAUUUAUUUAUUAG